rnacentral:rRNA from 1 species
AAUGAACGCUGGCGGCAGGCCUAACACAUGCAAGUCGAGCGAGCAUUUCGGUGCUAGCGGCGGACGGGUGAGUAACGCGUGGGAACGUGCCCUUUUCUGCGGAAUAGUUCUGGGAAACUGGGGGUAAUACCGCAUACGCCCUUUUGGGGAAAGAUUUAUCGGAGAAGGAUCGGCCCGCGUUGGAUUAGGUAGUUGGUGGGGUAAUGGCCCACCAAGCCGACGAUCCAUAGCUGGUUUGAGAGGAUGAUCAGCCACACUGGGACUGAGACACGGCCCAGACUCCUACGGGAGGCAGCAGUGGGGAAUCUUAGACAAUGGGGGCAACCCUGAUCUAGCCAUGCCGCGUGAGUGAUGAAGGCCUUAGGGUUGUAAAGCUCUUUCAGCUGGGAAGAUAAUGACGGUACCAGCAGAAGAAGCCCCGGCUAACUCCGUG